rnacentral:lncRNA from 1 species
ACAAAACACAUAAAACAAUCGAUCAAACAAACAAAACAAAACAAAACAAUCCAAAAAUAUAGUGUCCAGUCCAAUUAUUACAAUCCGAAAUAUAAAGGUACUUAAAAAGUAAACCUACACUAAUCCUAAACUACGCUCCAAUGCUUUACCCAAUGUUUCGGGCCUUGAUCACGAACAUCUUCCGCCAACAUAAUACGUCGAGGCAUUCUCCGGUGAAUAAAUAAAAUGAGCCUCGGGGUAUUCCCCGGCUAAAUGAAUACAUUUGAUGAAAUACGAUAAAAACAAACCAUUCCACAAACAUUUCAAAUCAUUCAACCAUACACAAUCCCUACUUUUGCCUACCCAAAUUAGAUUUGUCUAUUCCGUCUUGACCUAAAAUAUGAUAAUAUCAAUUUUGAUUAACGUUCGUUUCAAGUCAAACAACAACCCAAGAAUCAAAUCAACCAAAAUUCACCUUUUUAUCAAGUUUCAAACCCUGUUCCACUUAUUCCCAAUCAAUUAACCAAUUUCAAUAUAAGAAUCAACCAAUCAAGGUACGACAAUUAUAGAAACUCAAAACACACUCAAAAUUCAUAUCAUCAACCCAUCACUAAUCAACAAAAAUCACGACAUCAAACAUCACAUCAGGAUAAAAUAAAAAGAGAUUAAGUUGAAGAAUUUGACCUCGAUUUUAUUUCAUCCACUGAAUUUGUUCGAACAAAGGCAACGAACUUAAGACCUCGAUUCAACGAACUCAACACGGAUCCCCCAACUUGAUCAACCCCCACUAAAAAAAAUAACCAGGGGCCCACAUAUUACAAAAAAAAAGAGAUACCCAGGACUCUUCUUCCAUUAUUUGGAAAAGAAUACAACCAGGGGGACCCACACGAUUUUGGGGGGACUCCAUUUUCCCUUUCUAAUAUACAACCAUCAGAUACCAAAAAAAAAGGAGGACAGGCACACACACAGUAAUAUUCACUCCUUUUUUUCUCUCAUCUUCUAGAUGCAAAGAUCAACAAUCAACAACACAGAAGAACCACUCUCAACGUCUCAAUUCUCAUACACACCAGAGAACCCACCAUCAAUACGCCAGCCAGACGCAAAGCUCAUGCAGAUUGAGGGAGAGAGACGCGAGAGAGAUAGACGAAGAGAGAGGAGAGUGAAACAGAAUUGAUAAGAGCAACAAAAAGAGCGAAACACUCAUCGAAAAUUCCCUAGAUUAGUCACCAGAACCCACUUCUGUUUCUAUUGCUCUGGCGAUUUCUCACCGGAGAACAUCUUCGUUCGCCCAAAUUCGUUCAAAUCCAACUGUUUUCUAUCAAAAACUUGCCGGUUCUGAAAGAAACGGGUACGGGUCUUCUCUAUUCAUUGCGUAUUCUAUUUUAGAUUAGCGGAAAACAAAGUGACGAGCGUAAAUCGAAGCUAGGUUUUGCUGUUGGGGUUUGAUUCGAGGUUGUUUGGUGCGGUUUUUAUCUUUUUGAUCGAGUGAUACUUGAUUUUGAUCAUCAAUUGAGGUCCAAUUCUGAUCUUCACUCAUUUUAUUUUUUUAUUUGUCAUAUUCGAUGCAUUGAAUUGAAUAUUAUGCGUUGUUUAAUCUUUAUUGAUGCAUAAUCUUUGUUUGAUUCGUGGUUGGGUUCUUUGAUUCUGGAUGGUAUAAAUGAUAAUCGUUAAUCGGGGAAAUUUGGUGUUAAAGGCAAUUUGGGACGAAAUUGAAAACUGAUAAAAAGGGUGUAUUUUGGUUGAUUGUUGUUUUGGUUAAUCGAAAUAAAUAGCAAGUUGGUGAAUUCAAUAGGAUAACAUUCUAGGCCGAAAUCUUAAUAGGCAAAAGUUUAGUUUAGGGUAGGCAAAUUUAUGGAUUGUUGAUUAAUGUGGAAUGUUUGUUGAAUUACUCUCUUUUCUCACAUUUGGAAGACAUAUUCAUUUAGCCGGGGAAUACCCCGAGGUUUCAUGUAUUUAUUCACCGGGGAAUGCCCCGGCGUAUUAUGUUGGUGAAGACAGAUCAUGAUGAAGGCCCGAGGCAUCGAGUAAAGCACGGGAGCGUAGUUAGGAUUAGCGUAAGUUAGAUAGGAUUUAUUUUUGUAUUUUUUAUUUUGGACUAUAUAAAUUGGACUGGACACCGUGCUUUUGAUUCAUUUUUGUUUUGUUUGUUUGUUUGAUUGUUUUACAUGUUUUUGUGUGGUUUGUACAUUCGUAGUGUCAAAAUUAGCCGAUACGCUCCACCAAGCGGCCGUGGUCAAACCACGGGAUCGAGGGGUUCUUAACACCUUCCCCUCGGUCAAUAGAAUUCCUUAGCCGGAAUCUCUGUUCGCAAACUAGUUUAAAGAGUCAAAUAGUUUUGAAAAGGAUUUUCCAAUGGUGACUUGGCACACCAGAUUAUUUCAAGUGGUGACUCUGAAUAAAAAAAUAUAAAUAGUCCUUUUUUGAAACAAAUUUUUAAUCCUUUGUCACUUAAUAAAAACCCUUUCGAACUUGAAAUAAAUCAUUUGGAGUACGAAAAAGGGGUGUGACAGCUCUGGCAACUCUGCUGGGGAUUUUUUAGAAUUCAAGCUUAUUUUUGGAGUUGUAUCGGCUUAGUUUGGAACUAUAGGUGUAUAGACAUUUGUUUGUGUUGUUUAGUGUUAAUGUGUAGCAUUGUUGAGUGCCUACGUUCUCUUUGUUUGUAGUUUUUACUUUAUGUGUUAUCGCUUUAUAUCUGGCAUCAUGUGCAUAACUCGAGUCUUUCUUUCUGCAACAAGUCCAUAGUACACGUGUGUACACGACCUAUAGUUGAGUCACCCUCAUUUUUAGGGGGCAGCCGUUGGGUUGUAUGGAGUAGGUGGCCAGCUAAAGCAAGCCACUAUCGACCAUACGCUCCCCCGAACAACCUUGUUAGUGGGCCCCAGUGUAGGUCAUCCUUUAGGUCAUAGUUAUUUGUAUCAUAUUGAGACCUAGCAGGACCCACGUGGCCCUUUAUAGGAGACUCACCUAUAAAAGCAUCCCUACGUGCUAUAUGUUGCAUCUUUGAGGGUAAUAUGGUCAUUUGACAGACUGAUUUGGGGAAACCAUGUGUUAGAAGUAAGGUGCAUAGAUAAGAAAUGUUGAAAAAAAAAAUAAUAGAAAAAAAGUGAAUUGAAAAGAAAAAAAGAAUGUUUUGUAAGUUUUUAGAGUUCUUUUUCACUUUUGAUUUUCUUUCACAAUUCAAAAAUUCAAAAAAAGAAAUUACCUUUCGCACUCAUUUUUCUCAAAAAACAUCAAAAAGAUUUUCCUUUUAUUCCUUUACCAUGCAUUCAUAAUUCGAAAAUUUCAAAAAAGAUUUUUCUUUCAUAGUUGUUGGUGUCAUUUUUGUAUGAAGUGUCAAAUUAAUAACCCAAAAAGAUUUUAUUUUCAUGGUGCAGUCGUGUCUCUCAAGUCAAGGUUUUGUUCUAUAAUCCUUAAUUGUCCAAUCUGGACGAACAACGCACCCCUGAUUCUCCUUACUCGGGAGUGAGAUACGUAGGCAGCCUAUUGUUGGUUCGGGGAUCCUAUUUCAAAAAUCUAAAAAUAUUUUUCUUCAUUCUUUAUUUAGAUUAGGUGUCAUAUGCAUCAAUAAAAGAAAAGUACAAACAGAUUUUCCUUUAAUAGGUUCAAGUUUCAUUUUCGUAUGAAAUGCAAAAUUGAAAACCCAAAAAAGAUCUUUCUUUGGUAAUCAUAGAUUUCAUUUUGUAUAAGGAUGUUAAAGUUGAAAAAUUUCUGAAAAAAAUUUCAUCAAUUCUUUUGAAAAAUUGUUAUUUUCUUUUCUUCUUAAAGUUUCAAGGAAUAGAAAAAGAGUUUAACUGGCCAUUUUGGCAAGACUUCGCGAACUACGCACACCUGAUUCUCCUCUCUCGAGAGUGAGAUAUGUAGGCGCCCUUCUUGGGUUUGGUGAUCUUUUUAAAGAAAAAGAAAAGCAAAAAAAGAGGUUUUGAAAAAUUGGUGAACUACGCAUUUGCUAUCUCUUGCCCAGUUAGUUUAAUGUGGUUGGUUUGUAGAAUUUUGGCUGGUCCUCCAUAUUACUCCAAGUUACAAAAAAAGUUAUAGCCAACAAGGAUACCGAGUUAGUUGUCACUAAUCACAUAGGGAGUUCGAGGAAUGAGAAUGUAGGAGCUAAUAAAGAGAUUCAGAAAUUAAGGCAGCAAAUGAUAGAAAUGCAUCGAGCUUGGGCUAAUGGAUUGCCGCCUCCUCCAUUUCCCGCUGAUAAUCUGGAAUAUCUUCCUUGUUUGCCUCCAGUGUCACAUGCAUAAUUCCCAAUUUUUGUCGACACACCACAAUAUGCAUCAGGAACUACUCCAGGGCAACAGUAUCCAAACACUUCCAAUAUUUAUUUCCUCACCCCUCAAUACAAAAUUACCAUAUGCUUGGCUCCGCCUACUAUUCAUGCUUUUUUUUAGCCCACUCCCGUCUGAAACUCCUGCUUUUAUGUUCAAUCCAACGGUUGUGAUUCCUCACUCUACAAGCAACCCUGUAUUGAAUAUUUUUGUUGAUCAGCAUUAUGCUCCCAACCCCACAUUUAAGUCAAUUGGUCCUUACGACUGCACUAAACUACCUGAAUUUUCUCCCAACACUGAGAAGCCUGUUAUGACAGAAGAACAAGAGAAAAUGGCUAGAAAAUUGAGAAGUUUGGAACUAACUAUGAAAAACUUCAAGGACUCGGGGGGUACAAAAGUGUCUCAUAUAAAGAUCUGUGCAUGUUUCCAGGUGUACAUCUUCGUCUUGGUUUUAAAAUGCCGAAGUUUGAGAAGUAUGAUGGACAUGGCGAUCCUAUAGCACAUUUGAGAUGCUAUUGCAACCAGCUAAGGGGCGCUGGAGGGAAGGAAGAAUUACUCAUGGCAUAUUUCAGUGAGAGUCUUUUAGGUCUAGCUUCAAAAUUGUUUGUUGACCAAGACAUCGACAAGUGGAACAGCUAGGAUGACCUUGCUAAUGAACUCGUGCAAUAAUUUCAAUAAAAUAUGGAGCUGAUUCCUGACGAGAAAUCCCUGACUAUUAUAAAGAAAAAGAGUACUGAAACUUUCAGAGAGUAUGCGAUUAGAUGGCGUGAACAAGCUGCUAGGGUGAAAUCGACAAUGAAAGAAAGUAAGAUAGUGGAGGCGUUUAUUCAAGCGCAGGAUGAAACAUAUUAUCAACACUUGUUACCUGCAUUAGGCAAAACAUUUUUUGGGGUCCUCAAAAUGGGGGAGAUGAUAGAGGAUGGAAUUAAGACCGGUCGCAUUGUGAGUUUUGCAACAUUGAAAACGACUACUCAAGCAAUUCAAAAAGGUUCGGGAAGUGUUGGAGGAAAGAAGAAUAAGAAAGAUGCAUCUACCAUUGUAGUUGGACUAUAGGCACGGGCGAGAGGACUACACCAUCAUUACCCACGGGCUCAAACCCAAGUUUAUGCCCAAGCUCCACAGAAUCUUUCCCAAAAUCCAUUAUACUCUAUUCUCCCACCUCCAUAUCAAGUGUAUAAUGCACAACCAUAUGUUUAAACCCCAUCUUACCCACACUGACGUGCGCCAACUCUGUCGAUUCAUCCUCCAACUCGACAUACAUAACAAAACCUUUCUAGGCUUGGUUUUCAAUUUAAGCCAAACAAUGAAAUAAGACAGAAGUCGAGGGAUAGCUUCACACCAAUCGGAGAGUCAUAUACUAGUUUAUUUCAGAGAUUUGUACAGCGGGGCAUGAUCACUCCUCUCCUUGGGUAUACUCCUGACCCACAUUCAAGAAGUUUAGAUCCUAAUGUAUGAUGUGCAUAUCAUUUUGAUGUUCAAGGUCACAGUAUUGAAGAUUGUCAUGCUUUGAAAAGAGAAAUUGAAAAGAUGAUUCAAGAUAAAUCAAUCAUGGUGCAGAACACUGACAGUGAGGAAAGCUCUAGUCAUGCUAAUAUGCAAACCAGUGGCUAAGAUGUCAGGCUGAGCAAUUGAGAAGUCACCCUUCUCCUAAAUAAGAAGGGGUCUAGUAACUUGUUUUAUUUUUUUUAUUGUCCAAAUUAAUUUAGGGUUGUAGUUGGGAUCUAUAUUGUUUUGUCCUUUUGUUGUUUAUGUUUAAAACCUUCUAUCUUUUAUUUCAACUAAAUGAAGUGUCCUAUUUUUCUUUGUGUUUUAAAUAUGUGUUGUUUGUUUGUUUUCUUUACAUAGUACAUUUUAUGUUGACUCUAGUAAUAUGACAUGCUAGUGAAAUUUUCAACCAGAUCUUAAAAUCCAGUUUAAUCAUGAACAUUGAAUCAGAGGGUUAAAGUUAAAAAAAGAGAGCAUAUGAGAAAAUAGAUAGAGUGCUAAGACAUUUGGUGGCAAGUUAAGGCGAUUAUUUGGAGAAUCACAAGAACAACUUGGUCAUCGAUCGAAAGGCAGGUCCCAAUUAGGUCAAAUAGUGAAUGUGUGAUCCCUAUAUCAAGAGAAACAAGAAGAUAAUCAGCUCUACAAAAUCAGGAAUCACUCAAUGUGAGGGAUGCAUAACAAAGGUAGAGUUGUAUGCUGGACAAAUAUAGAAGAAGAAGUGACACACGUUCAGUUUAAGUUAGUGUUAUUAAAGUGUCCACAUGAUCUUUAUCUACCACUUUCCAAUUGCAUGUUAUGUACUUGCAUUCUCAAGGAUUGAUAUGAUGAAGACAUUUAAUUCUGCUAUCCAAACAUUGUGUCAUCCUUUGUUUACCCCAUUUGAGCCUUAGUGUUAUUUUCUUUCAUACCCCUCUUUUGGAAUCAAGAUAGGGUCAGCAAAGUUCAAAGAAAAGUGUCGAGUAAAAAGAUAAAGUCAGAAAAGUUUCAAAAAGAGACAAAAAUGUUUCCAAAAAGAAAAAAAGAAGUGUCAAGAAAAAUAGAGUUAGAAAAAAACUCUCUAAGUAAAAAGAGCGAAUAAGAGAAAAAAAAGAAAAUCAGAAUCAAGCAAAGGAACAAGUUGUCAGAACUAUGCAUAACCUGAUUCUCCUCUCUUGGGGGUGAGAUACGUAGGCUGCCCUACUAAGGGCUCGGUCCAACCAAAUAAAUAAUUUAGAGUCACCUAGUCAAAAGAAACUGGGGCAUGAGUUAAUUCUUAUUGUUAGAGUCGAUUCCAAAAGUUGUAAGUCCCACCCCACUUCAAGUGUCGUUUGGGCCCCAUGCCAUCCUUUCUUUCUAACCCUAUCCAAAAUCCAAGUUAAAACCAAAGAAAGACCUUCAGAUCAAUUUUUGAGAAUGUUAAGGCUAAGCAUGAAAGGGAUAUGAUGAUGCAUUUUGAGAACUACUUGUCUUCCUCGGUAUAAGGAAUUGGGAGAGAAAUAAAAUAAGAGAGUCUUAUUGGUGAAAACCCCCACGGGCACUAUAAGGCGAUGGUAAGGCGAGAGAGAUAAAAAUGAGAGUCUUAUCGGUGAAAACCCUCACGGGCACUUUAAGACGUCCGUGAGUUGAGAAAAAUGAAAAUAAGAAUCUCAUUAGUGAAAACCCCUCACGGAAACCAUAGGAAAAUGGUAAGCUGAGAGAACAAAAAUAAGAAUUUCAUUGGUGAAAAACCCUCACAAACACCAUAGGAAAAUGGUGAGCUGAGAGAACAAAAAUGAGAGUCUCUCAAUGGUGGAAAACCCUCACAGGCACCAUAAUACAAUGUUGAACUGAAAAAAAAAAUAAAAAAUGAGAGAGGUUUGUUGGCAAAAACCCUUCAAGGCAUCACUAGCCGAAUGAGGUCUUAAAAGCAAUUGACCUAAGGAAGCAUUUCCAUUUCCAGUCCAUUAACUCAACAACAAUUGUUGAGAGUUUGGAUGGAAAUAUCAGGAAGCCUAAUCCAAAAUGCAUGGCAUAAUCAUUAAAAUUGACUGUCAUUUUUAGAUAAAUUUUAUUUUUUUAUUUCAAAUGGGGACAUUCAUUAUCUUUUCUUUCUUCUUUUAUAUUUUUAUUUUAUUGGGUCAGUUGUCCAAAUAAAAAUCAUUGUCAUUUUUUUCUUGUCUUUGAGUCAAGUCCAUGUAAAAACAAGUGAGAAAAGAUUUCAAAACUGGCUACCAGCUUCUUCAAUUUCACAAAUAAAGACAAAAGCUAGCACAUAAAAGAUACAUGAUUGUGAGCUGAAGAAAGGGCAUGCAAAAAGUUUUUUCAAUAGACAAGUCUGGGAACUCAUGGAAAUACCAAGGUUCAAAGGGGUUUAUCUGAGGAGCAUGGUAAAGCAGAGAUACUGUAUUUGUCUCGGAGUCACUCUUAAUAAUCUGAGUCUGGGUCAAUGAUGCAGCAAGUUAAUGACAUAUGCUAAUGGUUGGAAGCAAGGUUAAAUGUGACUGGGGCAAGAGCGAUUGACUUGAAAUCUAAAGCCACAAACUAUCCAUCAUGUUUUUAAAACUCACAAGUUUUCUUUGAAUGAAAUAGGAAUAUAUGUUGCAUUUAGAUCAAGGAUUUCAGAGCCUAGCAUCAGAGGCCGUAAUUUCUCACUUCUACAAAUGUAAGAGGCAAUAUUGCUGCAUAGUUUUGGUAAUGAAAACCAUGGUAAAACUCAUAAUUCAAGAUCUCUAGGAGACAUACUUCCUUCUCAAGGAGACACAUUUCCUUGAAAAAUGCAAGUGACAUUUGUAAGGAGAUGCAUUUCAUUGUCUGGAUAAUUUAAGUGGUGUUUAUAAGGAGACACAUUUCCUUGGAAAAUUCGUGAAACAUUGGUAAGGAGAAGCACUUCCUUGUUUUGGUAAUUCAAGAAACAUUGGUAAGGAGAAGCACUUCCUUGUUUUGGUAAUUCAAGAAACAUUUGUAAGGAGAUGCACUUUCUUGUUUGGUAAUUCAAGCGGUAUUUGUAAGGAGACACACUUUCUUAUUUGGGUAAUUCCAGCAACUUUUGUAAGGAGACGCACUUCCUUGUUUGGGUAAUUCAAGCGGUAUUUGUAAGGAUACACACUUACUUGUUUGGUAAUUCAAGCAACAUUUGUAAGGAGACACACUUCCUUGUUUGGUAAUUCAAGCAGUAUUUGUAAGGAGACGCACUUCCUUGUUUGGUAAUUCAAGAAACAUUUGUAAGGAGACAUGCUUCCUUGUAAGGUAAUUCAAGCGGUAUUUGUAAGGAGAUACACUUCCUUGUUUGGUAAUUCAAGCAACAUUUGUAAGGAGACAUACUUCAUUGUUUGGUAAUUAAAGCGGUAUUUGUAAGGAGACGCACUUCCUUGUUUGGUAAUUCAAGCAACAUUUGUAAGGAGACGCGCUUUCUUGUUUGGUAAUUCAAGCGGUAUUUGUAAGGAGACUCACUUCCUUUUUUGGGGUAAUUCGAGCAACAUUUGUAAGGAAACGUACUCCCUUGUUUGGUAAUUCAAGAAACAUUUGUAAGGAGAUGCACUUCCUUGUUUGAGUAAUUCAGAGAAAUUUUUUAGGAGACGCAUUUUCUUGUCUUGGUAAUUCAAGCGACAUUUGUAAGGAGACGCACUUCCUUGUUUGGUUAAUUCAAGCAACAUUUGUAAGGAGACACACUUCUUUGCUUGGGAUAAUUUGAGAACAUUUGUAAGAAGACGCACUUUCUUGUUUGGUCAAUUCAUGAAACAUUUGUAAGGAGAUGCACUUCCUUAUUUUGUUAAUUCAAGAAACAUUUGUAAGGAGACGCACUUCCUUAUUUGAGUAAUUCAACCGGCAUUGGUAAGGAUACACACUUUCUUGUUUGAGUAAUUCAGGUGGUAUUGGUAAGGAAACACACUUCCUUGUUUUGGUAAUUCAAGUGGCAUUGGUAAGGAGAUGCACUUCCUUGUUUUGAUAAUUCAAGAAACAGUGGUAAGGAGAUGCACUUCCUUGACUGGGUAAUUCAAACUUUGCUUUUUGGGUAAUGCACUUCCUAACUUAAGUCUUGAUUCCUAGUAGAUAUACCUCCUAGUCGAGUCAGUCCCCUUGAUUUCUAGAUAAUGCACUUUCUAGUCGAGUUAUUGCACUUAAUCCUUAGGAGACGCACUUUCUUGCUAGUUUUCAUUUAUCAGGUGACACACUUUUUAACUUAAACUUGUAUCUCUAGAAGAUGCAUUUUCUAGUUAGAAUCCCUCACUUUAAUUCUUAGGAGAUGCAGUUCCUAGUCUUAGUUAUUCAAUUUUACUCUCAAGAGAUUCAUUUCUUGGUCAGAGUCUUGAUUCAUCAUUGCAACGUGCAAGUAGGUAUGAUGUGAAUUUUCCAAAAGUCUUCUGAUUAUAAACUGGGGAAAAAAUUCAAUUUUUGUUUUUGAAACUUUACUUUUCUGGCAAAUAGAAUUUCUCUUUACAAUAAUUUUUGUUUGGGAUAAUUUUCUUUCUAGUUUUGAUGUGGUUUCAGGUGCCCGCCUGAAGAACAGGGCGAAUAAAUGAAAAGUCAAACAACAUGGUGAAGAAGUUGAAAUUCAAGCAACAAGGUGAGGAGGUUGAAAGUCAAACAAUAAGGUGAAGAGUUUGAAAGUCAAGCAACAAGGUGAAGAAAGUGAAAGUCAACCGAUUGAUGAAAUUGCAAGUCAGGACCCCGCCUGAAAAAUAGGGUGAUGAAACUCGAGCCAAGAGUCCAACAGAAGUUGUAUAGAUAGGAUUUUUGUACUUUCAUUUAUGUUUUAACUUGUAAUUUUCAUUUUUGAUGUAAUGACAGAGCCGCGGACCGGAACCUCGAUGGAACCUCACUUGACUCUCCAAUUCGGUUGUCCUUCUUCCUUUUGUUUCUUCCCUUUGAAUAAUGAUCGGGUCAAAAUUCUGUCUCGUUGUCUACUUCUUUGUAUGAAAACACUUUGUGUUUACAUGCAAAGAGGGGCAUGAUGUAGACACGUAAUUUUGUCCCUCUCAGAAAGCAUUUUUUCCAUUUUUUUACCUUAUCAUACCGUCUACCCUCAACCAUAUAAUCAUACCCCACAAAAUACAAAUAAUAAUAACAAACCUCUAACAAAUCCAAUCCAAAACAUUCCUUUGAUAACAAAAUAACAAACUCCCUAAUCCAUAAUAUUCCUCAUCCUAACCAACUCACCCUACCCUACCCCCUACCCCCUAGCCUCAAUCCUUUUUGUCACGUUUUUACUCCUUUUUGCACUUUAAGAGAAUGACCAAAAAAAGAGAAUAUAGAGAUAGCACAUAAAUUGACUUAAGGAGCCCACAGAUUACAAAAAAAAAAAAUACCCAGGACUCUUCUUCCAUUUUUUAGAAAAGAAUACAACUAGGGGGACCCACACGAUUUUGGGGGGACUCCAUUUUCCCUUUCUAAUAUACAACCAUCAGAUACCAAAAAAAAGGGAGGACGGGCACACACACAACAAUAUACACUUAUUUUUUUCUCUCAUCUUUUAGAUACAAAGAUCAACCAUCAACAACACAGAAGAACUACUCUCAACGUCUCAAUUCUUAUACACACCAGCGAACUCACCAUCAAUACACCAGCCAAACGCAAAACACACGCAGAUCGAGGGAGAGAGACGCGAGAGAGAUAGACAAAGAGAGAAGAGAGUGAAACAGAAUUAAUCGGAGCAACAUAAAAAGCGAAACACUCACCGAAAAUUCCCUAGAUUAGUCAUCGGAACCCACCUCUGUUUCUAUAGUUACUGCUCCGGCAAUUUCUCGUUGGAGAACAUCUCCGUUCGCCCAAAUUCGUUUGAAUCUGAUUGUUUUCUGUCAAAAACUUUCCUAAAAUUCCAAAGUUCUGAAGGAAAAAGGUACGGGUCUUCUCUGUUCGUUGCGUAUUCUGAUUUAGAUUAGCGGAAAACAAAGUGACGGGUGCAUAUCAGAGCUGGGUUUCGCUGUUGGGGUCUGAUUCGUGGUUCUUCGGCGUGGAUUUUAUCAUUUUGAUCGAGUGAUACUUGAUUUUGGUCAUCAAUUGAGGUCCAAUUCUACUCUUCACUCAUUUUAUUUUAUUAUUUGUCAUAUUCGAUGCAUUGAAUUAAAUAUUAUGCAUUGUUUGAUCUUUAUUGAUGAAUAGUAUUUGUUUGAUUCGUGGUUGGGUUCUUUGAUUGUGGAUGGUUUAAAUGAUAAUCGUGAAUCGGGAAAAUUUACUGUUAAAAGGCAAUUUGGGACGGAAUUGAAAACUGAUAAAAAGAGUGAAUUUUGGUUUAUUGUUGUUUUGUUUAAUCGAAAUAAAUAGCAAGUUGGUGAAUUCAAUAGGAAAAUAUUCUAGGCCAAAAUCUUAAUAGGCAAAAGUUUAGUUUGGGGUAGACAAAUUUAUGGAUUGUUGAUUAAUGUGGAAUGUUUUUUGAAUUACUCUCUUUUCUCGCAUUUGGAAGAUGUAUUCAUUUAGCCAAGGAAUACCCCGAGGUUUCAUGUAUUUAUUCACCGGGGAAUGCCCCGACGUAUUAUGUUGGUGAAGGCGAAUCAUGAUGAAGGCCCGAGGUGUCGGGUAAAGCAUGGCACCGCAAUUAGGAUUAGCAUAAGUUAGAUAGAAUUUAUUUUUGUAUUUUUUAUUUUAGACUGUAUAAAUUGGACUGAACGCCGUGCUUUUGAUUCGUUUUUGUUUUAUUUGUUUGUUUGAUUGUUUUACGUGUUUUUGUGUGGUUUGUACAUUUGUAGUGUCAAAAUUAGCCGAUACACUCCACCAAGCGACCGUGGUCGAACCAUGGGAUCGAGAAAUGCCUAACACCUUCCCCUCGGUCAACAGAAUUCCUUAGCCGGAAUCUCUGUUCGCAAAACAGUUUAAAGAGUCAAAUGAUUUUGAAAAGGAUUUUCCAAUGGUGACUUGGCACACCGAAUUAUGCCAAGUGGAGACUCUAAAUAAAAAAAUGUAAAUAGUACUUCUUCGAAACAAAUUUUUAAUCCUUUGUCACUUAAUAAAACCCCUUUUGAACUUGAAAUAACUCAUUUGGAGUACGAAAAAGGGGUGUGACACAUACAAAGAAAACUUCUGAGUUUAAAACAUGGUGGCUGGUUUGUGGUUUUGGCUUUCGAGGCAAUCACUUUUGCCCCAAUCACAUUUAACCUUGCUUCCAACCAUUAGCAUAUGUCAUUGGCUUGCUGCAUCAUUGACUCAAACUCAGGUUAUUAAGAGUGACAAAAAUGAACACAGUAUUUCUGCUUCGCCAUGUUUCUCAGAUAGACCUUUGAACCUUGGUAUUUCCAUGAGUUCCCCGACUUCUCGGUUGACAAAACUUUAUACAUACCCAUUUUGGCUUACAAUUAUGUUUCUUUCAUGUGCUAGCUUUUGGCUUGCUUUGUGCAAUUAAUGAAGCUGGUAGCUGAUUUUGAAAUCUUUUCUCACUUGUUUUGACACAGACUUGACUCAAAGACAAGAAAAGAAAACAGAAUGACAAUUUUUAUUUGGAUAACUGACUCAAUAAAGAUAAACAAAAAUAAAGAGAAGAAAGAAAAGACGAUGGAUGUCCCCAUUUGAAACAAAGAAAAGACAAAUCCAUCAAAAAAAUGACUGUCAACUCUAAUGAUUAUGACAUGCAUUUCAAAUUAAGCAGCUUGAUCUUUUCAUCCAAAUUUUCUACCAAUUGUUGUUGAGUUAACGGCCUUGAAACUGAGUUACUUCCUUAGGUCAAUUGCAUUUACGACCUCAUUCGGCUAGUGGCGCCUUGAAGGGUUUUCUCCAACAAACCUCUCUCAUUUUUCUCUCGGCUCACCAUCGACUUAUGGUGCCCGUGAGGAUUUUCACCAAUAAUACUCUCUCAUUUUUAUUUCUCUCAACUUAUCAUCGCCUUACGGUGCCCGCGAGGAUUUUCACCAAUAAAACUCUCUCAUUUUUAUUUCUCUCUUGAUUCGUUAUGCUGAGGAAGACAAGUAGUUCCCAAAUAUAUCAUCAUAUCCCUUGCAUGCUUAGCCUUAACAUCCUCAAAGAUCUAUCUGAAGGUCUUUCUUUAGUUUUAACUUAGCUUUUGGAUAGGGUUAGAAAGAAAGGAUGGCAUAAGGCCCAAACAACACUUGAAGUGGUGUAGGACUAACAACUUUUGGAAUCGAUUCAAACAAGAAGGAUUAACGCAUGCCCCCGUUUCUUUUGACUGGGCAAUUCUAAAAUUUUUAUUUGGUUGAACCGAGCCCUGAGUAGGGCAACCUACAUAUCUCACCCUCGAGAGAGGAGAAUCAGUUCAUGCGUAGUUCUGGCAGCUUAUUCUUUUUUGCUUGAUUCUGACUUAUUCUUCUCUUUUUUUUAACUCUUUUUUCUUUGUGAUUUUUUUGACUCUAAUUUCUUGACACUCUUUUCUUCCUUCGUGGACACAUUUUUCUCUCUUUUUUUUGAAACUUUCUGACUAUAUUCUCUUACUCGAUACUUUUCUUUUGAGCUUUGCUGGCUUUAUCUUGAUUCCAAAGAGGGGUAUGAAAUAAAAUAACACUAAGGCUCAAAUGGGGUAAACAAAGGAUGACACAAUGUUUGGAUAGAAGAAUAAAAUGUCUUCGUCAUAUCAAUCCUUGAAAAUACUAGUACAUAGCAUGCAAUGUGAAAGUGCACGAUCAACAUCACUUAUGACAUGUUUUACAACACUAACUUGCCCAGAGCAUGUGUGUCACAUCUUUUUCUAUACUUGUCGAACAUACCACUCCACCUUUGUUGUACAUCCCUCACAUUGAAUGACUCAUGCUUUCGUGGAAUUAGUUUUUGUUCUGUUCCUUAAGAGCAUACAUCCGCCAUUUGACCUAAUUGAGAUAGGUUUUUCAAUUGAUGACCAAGUUAUUUUUGUGAUUCUCAAAAUAAUUGCCUUAAUUUUCGAAGAAGGCUUCAACUUGUCACCAAAUGUCUCAGCACUCCACCUAUUUUCUCAAAUGUUUUUCCUAACUUUAGUCCUCUAAUUCAAAGUUCAUGGUUAAGUUGGAUUUUAAGAUCUAGCUGAAAAUUCUGCUAGCAUGUCCUAUCACUAGAAUCAACAUAAAAUGCACUAUGUGAAGAAAACAAAGAACAUAUAUUUGAACACAAAGGGAAAAAGGACACUCUAUUUAAGUAAAAUAAAAGACAGAGGGUUCGAACCUAAACGACAAAGGGACCAAACAAGUUAAAUCUUGAACUACAACCCUGAAAUACUUCGAAAAACAGAAAAGAAAACAAAACAAACUACCAGACCUCUUCCUAGUAGGGAGAGGGGUGACUUCUCAAUUACUUAGCCUGGCAACUUAGCCACUGGUUUGCCUAUCAACAUGACUAGAGCUUCCCUUAAUGUCAAUGUUCUGCACCAUAAUUGAUCCAUCUUGAAUCAUCUUUUCAAUUUCUCUUUUCAAAUCCGACAAUCUUCAAUACUAUGACCUUGAGCAUUAGAAUGAUACGCACAUCGUACAUUAGGAUCAAAAUUUCUUGAACGCCGAUUAAGAGUGAACUCAAGGAGAAGAGUGAUCAUGCCCCAUUGUACCAAUCUCUAAAAUAAAUUGGCAUACGACUCUCCAAUUGGUGUGAAGCUAUCUCUCGACUUCUGCCUCAUUUUAUCGUUUGGCUUGGAUCAAAAAUCAGGCUUAGAAGCGUUUUGGUAUGUUUGUGGAUUUAGAGGACGGCUCUGAGGAGUUGAUGUUUUCCACUGUGGGUAAGAUGGGGGUCAAACAUGUGGUUGUGCAUUAUACAUUGGAUAUGGAUGUGGAGGAAUAGAGUAUAAUGGAUUUUGGGAGCGAUUAUGUGAAGCUUGGGCAUGAACUUGGGUUUGAGCCUAAGAGUGACGACGACGAGGUCUUCUUAACCUUUCCUGCUGUCCAACUACAACAGCAGAUGUAUCUUCCUUAUUCUUUUUCUCCCUAACACUUCUUGAACCCUUUUGAAUUGCUUGAGUAGUCGCUUUCAAUGUUGCAAAACUCAAUAUACGACUAGUCUUAAUUCCCUCUUCUAUCAUCUCCCCCAUUUUAAGGACCUCAAUAAAUGGUUUGCCUAAUGCAGGUAAAAAGUGUUGAUAAUAUGUUUCACCCUGCGCUUGAAUAAAUACCUCCAUUAUCUUACUUUCUUUCAUUGGCGGUUUCACCCCAGCAGCUUGUUCACGCCAUCUGAUCGCAUCCUUACUGAAACUCUCAAUAUUCUUCUUUUUAUACUAGUUAGGGAUUUUUCGUCAGGGAUCAACUCCACAUUGUAUUGAAAUUAUUGCACAAAUUCAUUAGCUAAGUCAUCCCAACUAAUCCACUUAUCAAUGUCUUGGUCAAUAAACCAUUCCGAAGCCAGGCCUGAAAGACUCUUCCGAAAUAAGCCAUGAGUAGUUCUUCCUUCCCUCCAGCGCCUCUUAAUUGGUUACAAUAGCGCCUCAAAUAUGCCACUAGAUCCCCAUAUCCGUCAUAUUUCUCCAACUUUGGCAUUUUAAAGCUAGGAGGAAGGUUGACACAUGAAAACAUACAUAAGUCCUUAUAUGAGACACUUUUGUAACCCCCAAGCCCUUGCAAAUUCUUCAUAGCCAGUUCCAAACUUUUCAAUUUUCUGGUCAUUUCCUUUUGUUCUUCUGUCAUAACAGGCUUCUUAGUGUUAGGAGGAAAUUUAGGUGGGUGAGUGUCACCGUAAAGACCAGUCAACUUGAAUGUAGGCUCGGAUUCAAUGCAGGCUCUCUUGUAGAGUAAGAAGGCACAACUUGUGGAUGAACAUCAAAAGUAGGAGCUCCGGGUGGUGGUGGCGCCGGAAAAGCAUGAACAGCAAAUGAAGCCGAGUGUGUGGUAGUCUUGGAUUGGGGAGUGAGGAAAUGAACAUUAGAAGUGGUUGGAUAUUGUUGCCCCGGAGUCGAUCCUGAUGCAUGUUGUGCUAUAUCAACAAAUAUGGAAAAUUGUGCAUGUGACAUGGGAGACAAGCUAGAAAGAUAUUCCAGAUUAUCAGUGGGAACUGGAGAAAGCGACAACCCAUUAGCCCAAACUCUAUGCAUUUCUAUCAUUUGUUGCCUUAAUUUUUGAAUCUCUUUAUUAGCUCCUAAAUUCUCAUUUCCGGAACUCCCUAUCUGAUUAGUUACAACAAACUCAGUAUCCUUGUUGGCCAUCACUUUCUCUGUGACGGUGCAAUAUGAAGAACCAACCAAAAUACCACAAACCAACCACCUUAAACUAACUGGACAAGAGAUAGCAAAUACGUUAGUUCAACACUUUAUCAAAACCUCUUUUUUUUUUAAAAGAUCACCGAACCCGAGAAGGGCGCCUACGUAUCUCACAUCCCGAGAGAGGAAAUUAGAUGUGUGUAGUUCAUAAAGUCGUGCCAAAAUGACCAAUUGAACUCUUUGUUUUCUUUCUUUUUUUUCUUUUUCUCGAAACUUUAAGAAGAAAAGAAAAUAACAAUUUGUCAAAAGAAUUGACAAAAAUAUUUUUGAAUUUUUCAGCUUUAACAUCCCUAUAUAAAGUGAAAUCUAUGAUUACCAAAGAAAAUCUUUUUGAAUUUUCAGUUUUAAAUUUCAUAUGAAAAUGGAACUUGAACCUAUUAAAGAAAGAUCUUUUUGGAGUUUUCUUUUAGAGAUGUAUAUGAAACACCUACUCUAAGUAAAGAGUGAAAAAAAUCUUUUUGAAUUUUUUAAAUACGAUCCCCGAACCAACAAUAGGCUGUCUACGUAUCUCACAUCCCGAAAGAGGAGAAUCAGGGGUGCGUAGUUCGUCCAGGUUGGACAAUUAAGGAUUAAAUGACAAAUUAAACCCUGAAUUGAGAGACACGACUAAAAACAAACGAUGAAAAUAAAAUCAUUUUUGAGUUUUUAAUCAUAAACUAACACCAACAACUAUGAAAGAAAAAAUCUUUUUGAUAUUUUCGUUAUAUAAAAAUGUACAAAGCUCCUAUUUAAAGGAAAAAAUAUUUUUGGAGUUUUUGAAUUGUAAGUACUUACUAAAGAAAUAAAAGGAAAAUUUUUUUAACGUUUUUGACUUUUCGGGAAAUGAGUGCAAAAAGUAAAAAAAUAAUUUUUUUUUUUGACUUGUGAAAAACAAAAGCCAUAAAGAACCCUAAAAACUACAAAAUCUCUUUUUUUUCAGUCUUUUUUUCUUCCUUUUUUUUAACAAUUUCUUGUCUACACAGUUUGCUUCUAACUCAUGUUUUUGCCCAAAUCAGUCUAUCAAAUGACCUCGUUACUCUCAGAGAUGCAACAUUUAGCACGUAGGGAUGCUUUAGAGGCGAGUCUCCUACAAAAGGGCCAUGUGGGUCUCACUAGAUCUCAAUAUGAUACAAAUAAGCAUGACCUAAAAGCUGACCUACGCUGGAGUUCACUAACAAGGCUGUUCGGGAAAGCGUAUGGUUGAUAGUGGCUGCGCUAGCUUUCCACCCACUCCAUACCAGCCGAUGGCUUCCCCUCCUAAAAGUAAGGGUGACUCAACUAUAGGUUGUGUACACAACAUGUACUAUAGACUUGUUGCAGAAAUAAUGACUUGGGUUAUACACAUGAUGCCAGAUAUAAAGCGGUAACACAUAAGAUAAAAACUGUAAACAAAGAGCACGUAGGCACUCAACAAUGAACAAACAAUAACACAAAACAACAUAAAUGUAUAUACACCCAUAAUGCCAAACUAAGCCGAUACAACUCCAAAAAUAAGCUUAAAUUCUGAAAUGAUCCCCAGUAAAAUCGCCAGAGCUGUCACACCUCUUUUUCAACCAAAAAAAGAUUCGAUUUUAAGUUUAAAAGGAUUUUUAUUAUUAGGUGACAAAAAUGAAGGUUUGUGUCGAAAAAGAAUUAUUUUAUUUUUUUUACAUCCAAACUCAGAGUCGCCACUUGGCAUAAUCCGAUGUGCCAAGUCACCUUUGAAAAAUCUUUUUUAAAAUAAUUUUAACUCUUUUAAACUGAUCUGCGAAUAGAAAUUCCGACUAAGUAAUUCUGUUGACCGAGGGAAAGGUGUGAGGCACCCCUCGAUCCCGUGGUUCGACCACAGUCGCUUAGCGGAGCAUAUCGACUAAUUUGACACUACGAAUGUAUAAACCACACAAAACACAUAAAACAAUCAAUCAAACAAACAAAACAAAACAAAACAAUCCAAAAGUAUAGUGUCCAGUCCAAUUAUUACAAUCCGAAAUAAAAAGGUACUGAAAAAGUAAACCUACACUAAUCCUAAACUACGCUCCAAUACUUUACCCGAUGUUUCAGGCCUUAAUCACGAACAUCUUCCGCCAACAUAAUACGUCGAGGCAUUCCACGAUAAAUAAAUACAAUGAGCCUCGGGGCAUUCUCCGGCUAAAUGAAUUCAUUUGAUGAAAUACGAUAAAAACAAACCACUCCACAAACAUUUCAAAUCAUUCAACCAUACACAAUCCCUACUUUUGCCUACCCAACUUAGAAUUUGUCUAUUCCGUCUCGACCUAAAAUAUGAUAAUAUCAAUUUCGAUUAACGUUCGUUUUAAGUCAAACAACACCCCAAAAAUCAAAUCAAUCAAAAUUCACCUUUUUAUCAAGUUUCAAACCCCGUUCCACUUAUUCCCAAUCAAUUAACCAAUUUCAAUAUAAGAAUCAACCAAUCAAGGUACGACAAUUAUAGAAACUCAAACACGCUCAAAAUUUGUAUCUUCAACCCAUCACGAAUCAACAAAAAUCAUGACAUCAAAUAUCACAUCACGAUAAAAUAAAAAGAGAUUAAGUUGAAGAAUUUGACCUCGAUUUUAUUUCAUCCACUGAAUUUGUUCGAACAAAGCCAACGAACUUAAGACCUCGAUUCAAUGAAAUCAACACGGAUCCCCCAACUUGAUCAACCCCUCCAAAAAAAGAAAUAACCGAGCAACCCCAAAACAGUUCCCACGAAAUACGGCAGUUUCUAAGGAUUAGUCGCAAAUUUCAGGCAUUUUCCGACAGGUUUUUGAAAUUGAUUCAACCGGAGUUACUGUUUUCUCGGUGCCGGAGGUCCGGUGAGCUCCGACGGUGUCAAGAGACGACGAAAAUGGUUUAAAUUUCGGUGAUGGGUAGCCUUUUUCGAUGGGAUUUCACCGAUUCUUAAUGUUUCUUCGCCCAAACCCUCUCAAAUCGCUUCCAUUCCCUCCGUUUCACUCUCUUUCUCCUGAUUCUCUCUCUCGCUUAGUUUCGUCUCUCACUGUGUAGCUAUGUGUAUCGGUGAGGGAUUGUGAGAGUGUGCAAUGGUCUGUGUUGUUAAUUUUUGAGGUCAGUAAAGAAGAAAAGAAAAUCAGAAAAUGGUGUGUGCGCGCUCUGUUUCUGAGAAAAAUGAAAAUUUCAGUCCCUUGAUCGUGACCCCCCUUGUAUAAGAUGAUAGUCCCCCUUUUUUUUCCAAUGUGUGUAGUGUAUAUAUUAUAUUCCCUAUCUGUGGAAAUUGUUAGUGAGUGGAAUGUUGUGGAAGAAUGGAGUCAAUCCCUGGGCCCCUUUUUUGUAAUGGAAAAGGAAUAAAAGUGUAAGUAGGCAUGGGUAGGUGGUUAGCAUAAGAUAAAAUUGGUUAUAGAUUUUGUUGAAUUUUUAUUAUUUUUGUAUUUUUGUGGAAUAUAAUUAAACGGGUGAAGAGGA